CCUCUCUCUCAGUGCACUGGUCUGUCCAGCUGUGGUCACUCUCCUCAGGCGUGAAGGCUCAGGGGAGCUGCUGCCCACUCCUGGGAGUGCGUUUGGAAGAAAUUCCCAGGAUCACUGGUCAGAAGGCUCUGACUCAGGGAGAGCUGCUUUGUCUGCCCAUGGGGAAUCCGUAAGAAGCAGUGACUGGCACGCCGGAAAGGAGAUUGCCCUUCUGAGGAGAGAUGCGGAGUAGAAGCCUCAAAAGGAAGAGUGGGAGAUGACUAGACACAGGAUUGGGGGUCAGAAUGCCUGAGUUUUAGACCCAGUUCCGCCAUUGUUUUUCUGUGGGGCUUUAGGCAAGAACUUUCAUGUCUUAGUCCCUCUGAGGGAUGUUUGCAAAAACGCUUUGGAGAAGGUGCAAGUCA